UACGGGGGGAGCAAGCGUUGUUCGGAUUUACUGGGCGUAAAGCGCGUGUAGGCGGUUCCGCAAGUCAGGUGUGAAAGCCCAGGGCUCAACCCUGGAAGUGCACUUGAUACUACGGAGCUUGAGUACUGAAGAGGAGAGCGGAAUUCCCGGUGUAGAGGUGAAAUUCGUAGAUAUCGGGAGGAACACCAGUGGCGAAGGCGGCUCUCUGGGCAGAUACUGACGCUGAGACGCGAAAGCAUGGGGAGCAAACAGG
rnacentral:rRNA from 1 species